UAAGCUCCUUUCCCAGAGAUAUUCUGGGCUCAAAGGAAUACAUUUGGGGAAUGGAACCUACACCUCAAAAGACCCAAGAGUUGGUCAUUGAUGUGGUUAGCAUUUCCAAUCACCUCCAUUUGUGAGAUAUGGGGACUAUGGUGCUGUGUCCCUAGCCAUCCCUUGGCCUUGGAGUCCUUCGAACUCAUUGAGCUGGAAAUAGAAGGCUUCAGAGAAUGGCACUGGGAAUGGAGCAGCUCUUCCCUUUUGCUUGAUAGAAGCUGCCUGCUCCUUCAGUGCUUCCAGAUACCAAGGUCUCUCUGCCCUCCCUUGGAAUUUAAGGACACGGGGUCUACUUCCUGGUGAAGGAAUCACAAAUUUUCACUGCUGUAUUUCCAAACUCUGGGGGGUCAGAAUGAAAACUUCUAGGUGUAUCCUAAGGUAGGAAUCUUGCCAGGAAGAAAGACUCACAAACUUUGUCACAAUUGGCUGAGUAAGAGGUAAUCUGGUCACAGGUAAUCAAUGAAAAAGGAAGAGAAACACUCGUACGAAGCCCUUCGCCUACAAAGUCCACAGGGAGAUGGCCUGUGAUCAACAGCGCGGAAGUGAGCUAAGAGGUCCUGAAGGAGCACAACUGUACCCUUUUCAUAGUGCAAAUUCUGAACCAGUUCAAAGAGAAGGUGUAGAAGCAAGGCAGACAGGGAUAACAACACUACCUGCAUCACUGAAAAUCCUUGGAAAUGCAAAACGGUUCAUGCCUGUGGGUCAACAGGCAGAGCCUCCAAACCAUGCCAUGCCUACAAGACCCAAUACAGGUGACAGUUCCCGAGAGAAUGGCUAAUAUGCCACCUCUGCCUCCCAAGUACUGGGGUUACAGGCAGCCAUCAGCACACCAGUUAAUAUGUUGCUAGAGAUUGGCCAAGGUCUCAUGUACAUAGGCAAGUACUAGACCAAGUAAACUACAUCCUGACACCCUGCUCGUCUGGAGACAUAUCUCACUAUGGAACCCAGGUUGGCCUUAAAUUUGUGGUUCACCUGCAUCUGCCGCUCAAAAGCUGGGGUUACCGGCCUCUGCCACCUCAGUUUACAACAGGAAAUUUGAAGAUAGAAAAUCAUUCUAGGGGGUAGUAAAGUGUUUUUGGUACAAGAAUGGAUAGCAGAACCCAUGUAAAUGUCAAGUGGAGUGACACAUACCCACCAUCCUGGUGUUGCGUAAGCAGAGACUGGACUAUCUCUGGAGUUCAUUGUCCAUCCAGUCAAACUGAAUCCAUGAGUUCCAAGUUCAAUGAGAAACCUUACCUCAAAAAGUCAGGUGGGGAGCAACAGAGGAAGACGUUCAACAUUGACUUCUGAUUUCCGCACAAUAUGAUUCUGACUAUAUAAUACCCAUAAAAUUACUAGAAUGGACUGAAUUCUAAUUCUAUUUUUCCUUAGGUACCAGCUCUCUCACUUUGGGAUAGUUGAUAAUUUCACUGAUAAAUGGGCAUUAUAUUUAAAUCAGAAGGUAUGCAUGGCAUUUAAAAAGCUGGUAGAGAAAUUUCUUAACACAUGACUAAUACUAGGUAUUCUCUAGUUUCCUCUACUUCUCUUGGUGCUAUUCACUUUACACACACACACA
rnacentral:sRNA from 1 species